rnacentral:rRNA from 1 species
UCCGUAGGUGAACCUGCGGAGGGAUCAUUAUCGAGUGUUAAAACUCCCAAACCAUUGUGAACGUUACCUUUUGUUGCUUCGGCGGGUUCGCCCCGGGCGCCUUCGAGUGCCCCGGAGUCAGGCGCCCGCCGGGGGACCAUAACUCCUGUUUUAUCAAGUGGAAUCUCUGAGUUCAGUUUUAAAAUAAAUCAAAACUUUCAACAACGGAUCUCUUGGUUCUGGCAUCGAUGAAGAACGCAGCGAAAUGCGAAAAGUAAUGUGAAUUGCAGAAUUCAGUGAAUCAUCGAAUCUUUGAACGCACAUUGCGCCCGCUAGUAUUCUGGCGGGCAUGCCUGUCUGAGCGUCAUUUCAACCCUCAUCCCCGGUUUUCCGGGGGUGGUGUUGGGGAUCGGCUGUUAAAGGCCGUCCCCUAAAUCCAGUGGCGGACCCGCCGUGGCCUCCUAUGCGUAGUAGCGAUACAACCGCAUGCGGAGAGCGGCGGGCUUCGGCCCUCUCAGUGGUGUCUCCUAGCCCCACGGGCCUUUGGUGGUCUCGUGCCGUGAAUAGAUGGCCCUGGGAGGAUCACCUUUCCAAGGUGACCUCAGAUCAGGUAGGAAUACCCGCUGAACUUAAGCAUAUCAAUAAGCGGAGG